AGCAAAAAGCAUCACAAUUCACAAUUUUUUAAUUUUAUUUAAUAAAUAUAAAUUUCCAAAGUACAACUUUUGGGGAGCCUGAGAAACAGCUACCACAUCCAAGGAAGGCAGCAGGUGCACAAAUUACCCACUCCCGACCCUUUAGAGGCCCUGUAAUUGGAAUGAGUCCACUUUAAAUCCUUUAACGAGGAUCCAUUGGAGGGCAAGUCUGGUGCCCGCAGCCGCGGUAAUUCCAGCUCCGA
rnacentral:ncRNA from 1 species